rnacentral:rRNA from 1 species
ACUCCUACGGGAGGCAGCAGUGGGGAAUAUUGCACAAUGGGCGCAAGCCUGAUGCAGCCAUGCCGCGUGUGUGAAGAAGGCCUUGGGUUGUAAAGCACUUUCAGUCGUGAGGAAGGUGGUAGUGUUAAUAGCACUAUCAUUUGACGUUAGCGACAGAAGAAGCACCGGCUAACUCCGUGCCAGCAGCCGCGGUAAUACGGAGGGUGCGAGCGUUAAUCGGAAUUACUGGGCGUAAAGCGCAUGCAGGUGGUUGUUAAGUCAGAUGUGAAAGCCCGGGGCUCAACCUCGGAAUAGCAUUUGAAACUGGCAGACUAGAGUACUGGUAGAGGGGGUAGAAUUUCAGGUGUAGCGGUGAAAUGCGUAGAGAUCUGAAGGAAUACCGGUGGCGAAGGCGGCCCCUGGACAGAUACUGACACUCAGAUGCGAAAGCGUGGGAGCAAACAGGAUUAGAUACCCCUGGUAGCGACUGA